GAGUGGCGAACGGGUGAGUAACACGUGGGUAACCUGCCCAUCAGAAGGGGAUAACACUUGGAAACAGGUGCUAAUACCGUAUAACAAUCGAAACCGCAUGGUUUUGAUUUGAAAGGCGCUUUCGGGUGUCGCUGAUGGAUGGACCCGCGGUGCAUUAGCUAGUUGGUGAGGUAACGGCUCACCAAGGCCACGAUGCAUAGCCGACCUGAGAGGGUGAUCGGCCACAUUGGGACUGAGACACGGCCCAAACUCCUACGGGAGGCAGCAGUAGGGAAUCUUCGGCAAUGGACGAAAGUCUGACCGAGCAACGCCGCGUGAGUGAAGAAGGUUUUCGGAUCGUAAAACUCUGUUGUUAGAGAAGAACAAGGAUGAGAGUAACUGUUCAUCCCUUGACGGUAUCUAACCAGAAAGCCACGGCUAACUACGUGCCAGCAGCCGCGGUAAUACGUAGGUGGCAAGCGUUGUCCGGAUUUAUUGGGCGUAAAGCGAGCGCAGGCGGUUUCUUAAGUCUGAUGUGAAAGCCCCCGGCUCAACCGGGGAGGGUCAUUGGAAACUGGGAGACUUGAGUGCAGAAGAGGAGAGUGGAAUUCCAUGUGUAGCGGUGAAAUGCGUAGAUAUAUGGAGGAACACCAGUGGCGAAGGCGGCUCUCUGGUCUGUAACUGACGCUGAGGCUCGAAAGCGUGGGGAGCAAACAGGAUUAGAUACCCUGGUAGUCCACGCCGUAAACGAUGAGUGCUAAGUGUUGGAGGGUUUCCGCCCUUCAGUGCUGCAGCUAACGCAUUAAGCACUCCGCCUGGGGAGUACGACCGCAAGGUUGAAACUCAAAGGAAUUGACGGGGGCCCGCACAAGCGGUGGAGCAUGUGGUUUAAUUCGAAGCAACGCGAAGAACCUUACCAGGUCUUGACAUCCUUUGACCACUCUAGAGAUAGAGCUUCCCCUUCGGGGGCAAAGUGACAGGUGGUGCAUGGUUGUCGUCAGCUCGUGUCGUGAGAUGUUGGGUUAAGUCCCGCAACGAGCGCAACCCUUAUUGUUAGUUGCCAUCAUUUAGUUGGGCACUCUAGCAAGACUGCCGGUGACAAACCGGAGGAAGGUGGGGAUGACGUCAAAUCAUCAUGCCCCUUAUGACCUGGGCUACACACGUGCUACAAUGGGAAGUACAACGAGUCGCGAAGUCGCGAGGCUAAGCUAAUCUCUUAAAGCUUCUCUCAGUUCGGAUUGUAGGCUGCAACUCGCCUACAUGAAGCCGGAAUCGCUAGUAAUCGCGGAUCAGCACGCCGCGGUGAAUACGUUCCCG
rnacentral:rRNA from 1 species